rnacentral:ncRNA from 1 species
AUUUUGUUGAAAUACGUCGUAUAAUCUUGGGGAUAUGGCCCAAAAGUUUCUACCAAGCUACCGUAAACUGGCUUGACUACGAGGUAUAACGG